rnacentral:lncRNA from 1 species
GUCAUUAACAUUAAGCAAGAUAUUUUCAUUGUGCCUAGGUUUAAUGUCCUGGAGGAGGGCAUGGCAACCCGCUCCAGUAUUCUUGCCUGGAGAAUCCCAUGGACAGAGGAGCCUGGUGGACUGCAGUCCAUAGGGUCCAAAGAGGCAGACACAGCUGAGCAACUGAGCACAGCCCAGCCCCGCUCUGACCAGGCCUCUGCGCUCCAGUUUGAACUGACCCCACCAGGCCUCUGCACUCCUGUAUGGGACUUGCCUGGCUCUACAGUCAUUUGAGAUGGUAAUUUUGGACAUUUACAACUCAUCUUCCCAACAGUUUUGCAAGAAAUGCUACUGGUCUCCCGACUGAGAAUCACCAGCUUAAAGAGAGGCCCAGAGAGACGUCAAGCAGACAGACUGAUGGACAGACAGACUCUGAGAUGAAGAAACCCAGGUGCAGUGUGAUGUCUGUCCUCUGACAUUGUUGUCCUGACCUUCCUGUGUUGACGAUGGAAGCCCAGACACUGGAAAGCAGUUCUGUGCUGAUCCUGCCGGAGCCUCGAAUGAGCCUCUGCAAGCUGCCUGGGGCAUCAGUCCUGGGAGCCCUGAUGGGGAAGGCACAGGACUGCAGCUCACAAAGAGAUACAAGAUCAUUAACCAGGAAGCCACCAAGAGACACUGCAAUCACCCAUUUGUGUGUCUUAUUUUCUCUGGAGCCAGAAGGUCUUUCAUCUUGGAAUUUCUCUGGGAUUGUGCUUCAUAUUUCAAUCAUUCUCUCUUGUCUGGUUUUAUCUAUCCCUUUGACAGAUCAUAUGGUUGCUCCACUGUUUCCAACUUUCUCAACAGCAUGA